GAUGAACGCUGGCGGCGUGCCUAAUACAUGCAAGUCGAGCGAACGGACGAGAAGCUUGCUUCUCUGAUGUUAGCGGCGGACGGGUGAGUAACACGUGGAUAACCUACCUAUAAGACUGGGAUAACUUCGGGAAACCGGAGCUAAUACCGGAUAAUAUUUUGAACCGCAUGGUUCAAAAGUGAAAGACGGUCUUGCUGUCACUUAUAGAUGGAUCCGCGCUGCAUUAGCUAGUUGGUAAGGUAACGGCUUACCAAGGCAACGAUGCAUAGCCGACCUGAGAGGGUGAUCGGCCACACUGGAACUGAGACACGGUCCAGACUCCUACGGGAGGCAGCAGUAGGGAAUCUUCCGCAAUGGGCGAAAGCCUGACGGAGCAACGCCGCGUGAGUGAUGAAGGUCUUCGGAUCGUAAAACUCUGUUAUUAGGGAAGAACAUAUGUGUAAGUAACUGUGCACAUCUUGACGGUACCUAAUCAGAAAGCCACGGCUAACUACGUGCCAGCAGCCGCGGUAAUACGUAGGUGGCAAGCGUUAUCCGGAAUUAUUGGGCGUAAAGCGCGCGUAGGCGGUUUUUUAAGUCUGAUGUGAAAGCCCACGGCUCAACCGUGGAGGGUCAUUGGAAACUGGAAAGCUUGAGUGCAGAAGAGGAAAGUGGAAUUCCAUGUGUAGCGGUGAAAUGCGCAGAGAUAUGGAGGAACACCAGUGGCGAAGGCGACUUUCUGGUCUGUAACUGACGCUGAUGUGCGAAAGCGUGGGGAUCAAACAGGAUUAGAUACCCUGGUAGUCCACGCCGUAAACGAUGAGUGCUAAGUGUUAGGGGGUUUCCGCCCCUUAGUGCUGCAGCUAACGCAUUAAGCACUCCGCCUGGGGAGUACGACCGCAAGGUUGAAACUCAAAGGAAUUGACGGGGACCCGCACAAGCGGUGGAGCAUGUGGUUUAAUUCGAAGCAACGCGAAGAACCUUACCAAAUCUUGACAUCCUUUGACAACUCUAGAGAUAGAGCUUUCCCCUUCGGGGGACAAAGUGACAGGUGGUGCAUGGUUGUCGUCAGCUCGUGUCGUGAGAUGUUGGGUUAAGUCCCGCAACGAGCGCAACCCUUAAGCUUAGUUGCCAUCAUUAAGUUGGGCACUCUAAGUUGACUGCCGGUGACAAACCGGAGGAAGGUGGGGAUGACGUCAAAUCAUCAUGCCCCUUAUGAUUUGGGCUACACACGUGCUACAAUGGACAAUACAAAGGGCAGCGAAACCGCGAGGUCAAGCAAAUCCCAUAAAGUUGUUCUCAGUUCGGAUUGUAGUCUGCAACUCGACUACAUGAAGCUGGAAUCGCUAGUAAUCGUAGAUCAGCAUGCUACGGUGAAUACGUUCCCGGGUCU
rnacentral:rRNA from 1 species